rnacentral:misc_RNA from 1 species
AAGUCGUAACAAGGUUUCCGUAGGUGAACCUGCGGAAGGAUCAUUAUUGAAUAAACCUGGCGUGGUUGUAGCUGGCCCUCUCGGGGGCAUGUGCUCGCCCGUCAUCUUUAUAUCUCCACCUGUGCACCCUUUGUAGACCUGGACGAUAACUUUCCGAGGCAACUCGGUCGGGAGGACUGCUGGCUUUUCACGAAGUCGGCUUUCCUUGUAUUAUCCAGGCCUAUGUUAUUCACAUACCCCAAAGAAUGUAUCAGAAUGUAUCAUAUGGCCUCGUGCCUAUAAACUAUAUACAACUUUCAGCAACGGAUCUCUUGGCUCUC